ensembl:miRNA
GAGGCCUGGGGCACUCGCGGCCCUGUUGGACUAACGGCGUUGCUGUUCUGCAGUAACUUGAGUUACGGACUGGGGUUGGAGCCGCCUUUUCUGGGUUAGAGGAU